CUGAUUCUGAAAAUGUGAAUGUGAUGCAUACUUUUAAAGUUAUGAAUAAUAUGGAAAAACUGUAUCUCUCUGCCUGUGAUAAUUACAUUACCCAUUGUGUAAGGUUAUUGUAUCACAGGCAGGAUUGUAUCACAGGGGAGGAUUUUGUGUGGGAGUGUCUGAGUGUAUUGUACGUGUUUAUUGGUUGUUUUCCAAAACCCUGUGGGUGGUACUAAUGUGUAAGAAUGUGUAUAUAAGGCCAAUAAACCCACAGCUCUGUCUGUUCCUGCUUGACCCUCAAAACGGAGCCUUGUCUCGUUCUUGGGGGGAUUUAUUGUAUGCUGUUCCAGUUCGACUGCUAGGAGUGUAAACCUAUUCGUAUGGUUUUUCCUAUUCAUCUGUUUACGGCAUUCAUAUGGUUUCCUGCUCGGCGGAUUGGUGUCUUUGGUAGCUGCCUGUAUAUCUGGAAGAAUAUCUACUAAACGGCUUUAACCCCUUUUAUGCCUGGGGGUGCCGUUACAAUAGACAACUAUUACAAUGCACACAGUCAUUGAUGCUAAAGGGGGCAAUACACAGUAUUAAGAACAAAGGUUAUGCAGACUUUUGAACAG